AUUGAACGCUGGCGGCAGGCUUAACACAUGCAAGUCGAGCGGGGGAAGGUAGCUUGCUACCGGACCUAGCGGCGGACGGGUGAGUAAUGCUUAGGAAUCUGCCUAUUAGUGGGGGACAACAUCUCGAAAGGGAUGCUAAUACCGCAUACGUCCUACGGGAGAAAGCAGGGGAUCUUCGGACCUUGCGCUAAUAGAUGAGCCUAAGUCGGAUUAGCUAGUUGGUGGGGUAAAGGCCUACCAAGGCGACGAUCUGUAGCGGGUCUGAGAGGAUGAUCCGCCACACUGGGACUGAGACACGGCCCAGACUCCUGCGGGAGGAAGCAGUGGGGAAUAUUGGACAAUGGGGGGAACCCUGAUCCAGCCAUGGCGCGUGUGUGAAGAAGGCCUUACGGUUGUAAAGCACUUUAAGCGAGGAGGAGGCUACUCUAGUUAAUACCUAGGGAUAGUGGACGUUACUCGCAGAAUAAGCACCGGCUAACUCUGUGCCAGCAGCCGCCGUAA
rnacentral:rRNA from 1 species